AGACUUUCUGGCAGAAGGCAAUUACAAACGGCACCAAGUUGAGCAAGCCGAUUAACCCAGCCAGGGAUCGGUGUUCCUGUCACUCUCAAAGCGACAUCAUUCGUAAAAUGGUUGCAAUUUUUUGUGAUCAGGUGGUAGGUGUCUCCAUGGUAAUCAGCAGCUAUGUUUUCAAUGAACGCCCGGAAUUCAGAAGGAAGCAUCUCUGUAUGACCCAAUCGAACGGAGCAUCUGUAGACAAAACCAGGGCAGCUCUUUGGUU
rnacentral:misc_RNA from 1 species